ACGUGAUCUGAGUUCAGACCGGAGUAAUCCAGGUCAGUUUCUAUCUAUAAUUGAGCCUCUUCUAGUACGAAAGGACCGAAAAAGCAUGGCCAAUACUUUAUGCAAGCCAUCAUUAAUAAUUUAUGAUUAAAACUAAAUAAAUAAUUUAUCUUCAAAUUUCCUCAAGAAAAGAGA
rnacentral:rRNA from 1 species